CAGUGGGGAAUAUUGCACAAUGGGCGCAAGCCUGAUGCAGCCAUGCCGCGUGUAUUGAAGAAGGCCUUCGGGUUGUAAAGUACUUUCAGCAGUGAGGAAGGUGGGUAUGUUAAUAGCAUACUCAUUUGACGUUAGCUGCAGAAGAAGCACCGGCUAACUCCGUGCCAGCAGCCGCGGUAAUACGGAGGGUGCGAGCGUUAAUCGGAAUUACUGGGCGUAAAGCGCAUGCAGGUGGUUUGUUAAGUCAGAUGUGAAAGCCCGGGGCUCAACCUCGGAAUUGCAUUUGAAACUGGCAAACUAGAGUACUGUAGAGGGGGUAGAAUUUCAGGUGUAGCGGUGAAAUGCGUAGAGAUCUGAAGGAAUACCGGUGGCGAAGGCGGCCCCCUGGACAGAUACUGACACUCAGAUGCGAAAGCGUGGGGAGCAAACAGGAUUAGAUACCCUGGUAG
rnacentral:rRNA from 1 species